UCUGCCUUGUAGUGGGGGAUAACUUGCCGAAAGGUAAGCUAAUACCGCAUACGCCCUAAGGGGGAAAGCAGGGGACUCUUCGGAGCCUUGCGCUAUUAGAUGAGCCUAGGUCGGAUUAGUUAGUUGGUGGGGUAAUGGCUCACCAAGACCGCGAUCCGUAACUGGUCUGAGAGGAUGAUCAGUCACACUGGAACUGAGACACGGUCCAGACUCCUACGGGAGGCAGCAGUGGGGAAUAUUGGACAAUGGGGGAAACCCUGAUCCAGCCAUGCCGCGUGUGUGAAGAAGGCCUUCGGGUUGUAAAGCACUUUAAUUUGGGAGGAAGGGCUUACGGUUAAUAACCGCUAAGUUUUGACGUUACCAAAAGAAUAAGCACCGGCUAACUUCGUGCCAGCAGCCGCGGUAAUACGAAGGGUGCGAGCGUUAAUCGGAAUUACUGGGCGUAAAGCGCGCGUAGGUGGUUCAUUAAGUUAGGAGUGAAAGCCCCGGGCUCAACCUGGGAAUUGCUUCUAAAACUGGUGAGCUAGAGUACAGUAAAGGGUGGUGGAAUUUCCUGUGUAGCGGUGAAAUGCGUAGAUAUAGGAAGGAACAUCAGUGGCGAAGGCGACCACCUGGACUGAUACUGACACUGAGGUGCGAAAGCGUGGGGAGCAAACAGGAUUAAAUACCCUGGUAGUCCACGCCGUAAACGAUGUCCACUA
rnacentral:rRNA from 1 species